UCUGGCACGCCUGCCCUGGUCGUUUAGAUACCUUGCUUAUUAAUCAGCAGUGCAAUCCCAGUUUUCCCAUGUGUUACAACAUGUGCAACAGGGUCUUACUA